GUGGGGAAUAUUGGACAAUGGGCGCAAGCCUGAUCCAGCAAUGCCGCGUGGGUGAAGAAGGUCUUCGGAUCGUAAAGCCCUUUCGACAGGGACGAUGAUGACGGUACCUGUAGAAGAAGCCCCGGCUAACUUCGUGCCAGCAGCCGCGGUAAUACGAAGGGGGCUAGCGUUACUCGGAAUUACUGGGCGUAAAGGGCGCGUAGGCGGCUCUGUUAGUCAGGCGUGAAAUUCCUGGGCUUAACCUGGGGACUGCGCUUGAUACUACAGGGCUUGAGGCCGAGAGAGGGUGGUGGAAUUCCCAGUGUAGAGGUGAAAUUCGUAGAUAUUGGGAGGAACACCAGUGGCGAAGGCGGCUCACUGGCUCGAUACUGACGCUGAGGUGCGAAAGCGUGGGGAGCAAACAGGAUUAGAAACCCUAGUAGUCC
rnacentral:rRNA from 1 species